ACGUCUCAGUUCGGAUUGUAGUCUGCAACCCGACUACAUGAAGCUGGAAUCGCUAGUAAUCGCGGAUCAGAAUGCCGCGGUGAAUACGUUCCCGGGUCUUGUACACACCGCCCGUCAAGCCAUGGAAGCCGGGAGUGCCUGAAGUACGCGACCGCAAGGAGCGUCCUAAGGUAAAACCGGUGACUGGGGCUAAGUCGUAACAAGGUAAC
rnacentral:rRNA from 1 species